rnacentral:tRNA from 1 species
GCCCAAGUGGUGGAACAGGUAGACACAAGGGACUUAAAAUCCCUUGGACUUACAAGUCCGUGCCGGUUCAAGUCCGGCCUUGGGCA